rnacentral:tRNA from 1 species
UGGGGUGUCGCCAAGCGGUAAGGCAGCGGGUUUUGAUCCCGCCAUACGUAGGUUCGAAUCCUACCACCCCAGCCA